UACGGAGGGUGCAAGCGUUAUCCGGAUUUACUGGGUUUAAAGGGUGCGCAGGCGGAUAUGUAAGUCAGUGGUGAAAUCUCUGGGCUUAACCCGGAAAUUGCCAUUGAUACUAUAUAUCUUGAAUGCUGUGGAGGUAAGCGGAAUAUGUCAUGUAGCGGUGAAAUGCUUAGAGAUGACAUAGAACACCUAUUGCGAAGGCAGCUUACUACAGGGACAUUGACACUGAGGCACGAAAGCGCGGGGAUCAAACAGG
rnacentral:rRNA from 1 species